CCCCCCAGCCCGGUCACAGGCCCUAACCCCAAAACCAACCACCCCUCACCCUGGCCCCACGAUAUAUAUAUACAUCAUAUAUAUAUAUGUGGAUAUCCUGUGUGUCCUGUCGACUGAAGAACCGGAUGGAUUGGAUGAACCGAUGGAUGAGACGAGGAUGGAUUCCCUCUUGGAGAUCGCUCCUGGAUAAGAAUCCACUGGAUACUAUUUUCGUUCUUGGGAUGUCUACUUGGAUGCUGCGGAUCGACCUUAACGGCGAUCGAGUUAAAGGACAGUGGAAGACACUUAGUUAUAUACAUACAUGAAUUAAUAUCGUGGUGAAGUUUUAUCAGUGUUAAUCGUUGUAGUGAAGUGAUACGUAAUCAAUAAAAAUACACUAUUUUAUGUAAAUAA